rfam:Loxodonta africana unplaced genomic scaffold scaffold_137, whole genome shotgun sequence.
GGUGGUUCAGUGGUUAAGCACUCAGCUGUUAACUGAAAGGUCGGUGGUUCAAACCCACUAGCCA